UUUGGGGAAUUCGAAGCAUGUUGUUUAAUUCGAUAACCCACGACAAAUCUUACCACUUCUUGCAUAUUAUUAUAUUAUAAUAAUAUAAUAUAAUUAUUAUAAAAAUAAAUACAGGUGUUGCAUGGCUGUCUUUAGUUCGUGUUGUGAAAUGUUAGGUUAAUUCCGAUAACGAACGAAACCCUUAUCUUUAAUUUAACAAUAGUAAUAAAAUUUUAUUAUUAAACUAUAUAAAUAAAGAAAUAUCUUUUUAUAAGAAAGAAUAACAAGGAUGAAGACAAGUCCUCAUGACCCUUAUGAAGUGGGCUACAGACGUGCCACAAAGAUUUUUACAAAAGGAUGCAAAGAUGAAAGUUGGAGCUAAUCCUUAAAGAAAAUUUUAGUUCGAAUAAGAAUCUGAAACUCGAUUCUUUAAAGAAUUCCCCGCAGU
rnacentral:rRNA from 1 species